rnacentral:rRNA from 1 species
UCGGGAAUUUUGGGCAAUGGGCGCAAGCCUGACCCAGCAACGCCGCGUGAAGGAUGAAAUCCCUCGGGAUGUAAACUUCGCAAGAACAGGAAGAAUAAGUAGAAGAUAAUACCUUCUAUGAUGACGGUACUGUUUGUAAGCUCCGGCUAACUCCGUGCCAGCAGCCGCGGUAAUACGGGGGGAGCAAGCGUUGUUCGGAUUUACUGGGCGUAAAGGGCGCGUAGGCGGCCACGACAAGUCACUUGUGAAAUCUCCGGGCUUAACUCGGAACGGUCAAGUGAUACUGUCGGGCUAGAGUGCAGAAGGGGCAACUGGAAUUCUCGGUGUAGCGGUGAAAUGCGUAGAUAUCGAGAGGAACACCUGCGGCGAAGGCGGGUUGCUGGGCUGACACUGACGCUGAGGCGCGAAAGCCAGGGGAGCGAA